AUUGAACGCUGGCGGCAGGCCUAACACAUGCAAGUCGAACGAGUGGCGGACGGAUGAGUAAUGUCUGGGAAUCUGCCCGAUGGAGGGGGAUAACUACUGGAAACGGUAGCUAAUACCGCAUACCAUCGGAUGUGCCCAGAUGGGAUGAGCUAGUAGGGGGGGUAAUGGCUCACCUAGGCGACGAUCUCUAGCUGGUCUGAGAGGAUGAUCAGCCACACUGGGACGUAGACACGGCCCAGACUCCGACGGGAGGCAGCAGUGGGGAAUAUUGCACAAUGGGCGCAAGCCUGAUGCACCCAUGCCGCGUGGAUGAAGAAGGCCUUGGGGUUGUAAAGUACUUGCAGCGAGGAGGCGUUACUCGCAGAAGAAGCACCGGCUAACUCCGUGCCAGCCGCCGCGGUAAUAC
rnacentral:rRNA from 1 species